CCCACUUUGUGCUACCUCUAGGUGGCAUGACCUAACCCAAAUACACACAAAAUUGGGCUAGCUAAUUUGUAAGGUUUGAGACCAAAUUGAUCUCUCAAAGGCUAGGGUUUCUACACGUGCUAGCAUGCUUAUCGAAGACCCUGAUUGGAUCUAAAAUUUCAAUCAACCUUAUCAAAAAGGGUUCUUGGCUAAUUUUUUUUAUGUGUGAGAUCUGUUAGGUUCUACAUCUAGCCAGU
rnacentral:lncRNA from 1 species